UACAGAGGUCCCAAGCGUUGUUCGGAUUCACUGGGCGUAAAGGGCUCGUAGGCGGCCAACUAAGUCAUACGUGAAAUCCCUCAGCUUAACUGGGGAACUGCGUGUGAUACUGGAUGGCUUGGAUUUGGGAGAGGGAUGCGGAAUUCCAGGUGUAGCGGUGAAAUGCGUAGAUAUCUGGAGGAACACCGGUGGCGAAGGCGGCAUCCUGGACCAAUAUUGACGCUGAGGAGCGAAAGCCAGGGGAGCAAACGGG
rnacentral:rRNA from 1 species